rnacentral:rRNA from 1 species
UGGGGAAUCUUCGGCAAUGGGCGAAAGCCUGACCGAGCCAUGCCGCGUGAGUGACGAAGGCCUUAGGGUCGUAAAGCUCUUUCGCCAGGGAUGAUAAUGACAGUACCUGGUAAAGAAACCCCGGCUAACUCCGUGCCAGCAGCCGCGGUAAUACGGAGGGGGUUAGCGUUGUUCGGAAUUACUGGGCGUAAAGCGCGCGUAGGCGGACCGAAAAGUUGGGGGUGAAAUCCCGGGGCUCAACCCCGGAACUGCCUCCAAAACUGCCGGUCUAGAGUUCGAGAGAGGUGAGUGGAAUUCCGAGUGUAGAGGUGAAAUUCGUAGAUAUUCGGAGGAACACCAGUGGCGAAGGCGGCUCACUGGCUCGAUACUGACGCUGAGGUGCGAAAGUGUGGGGAGCAAACAGGAUUAGAUACCCCCGUAGUCC